UCGGUAAAGUUUUAGAAUUUCGCUUUAAUCAAGAAAAUUUCAAAUUAGUAAACUCAGCAGCACCAUCACCCAACAAUCGUCCAAGCAACUGAUAUCAAAGCGAUGCAAGUUUGAUCACUUAAUUUACUUGAACCCAUGAUUACAGCACCUUUAACUAGGAGCCUGAGUUGCAAUGCAACAUCUUUUAAGGUGAUGGUACACUCCCAACACAGUAAAUAAAAUGUGUGAGUAUUUGGGCGUCACAGAAAAUAUGCCAGCUGAAAAAGCACAAACACAGAAAAUAUUAUAGGACAAUGAUAAGUGACAAUGAUAUCCACUACCAAGAUACCAAACAACCAGCACCUAAACUUUCUUUCCAAAGUAGUCUCUAAAUCAUUGUCAUUGUUUACUUAAAAUCCAACUCAACUUGACAACAUUUCUUUUUUCUCAUCUCUUGUUGUCAAAGCAUAUCGCUCACUAACCCACCCACCUCUCUUCCGAUCAUAACAUACAGAAAUGACCGAAGAUUUGCAAGGAUUCCAAAACAUUAGCAAUGAAACGUAUAACACCCCUGGUAGAAUGUGAGAUACAUAACACAUCCAAAUAAUUAAAAUUUAGGUGAGGCAUACCUUCAUUAUACCUCAAUUUCUCUUUGUUUUGUCUCCGCUGCGAGAUAAUGCUGCCUGCUAACAUAAUAUAGAAAACAACAUACAUGAUACAUUCAUACAAAAUAAAUCAAAGUCAAAAAGUCAAGAAGAAGAAAAGCAUACCCAUACUAGUCUUUUGUUUCUUUGCUUUUAGUAGACCAUUGGAAGUUCGAGACCUGGUUCGUUUUGCUUUCCUAGCAAC
rnacentral:lncRNA from 1 species